UGUACCUGGUGCAGACCAGAUGUGGCAAGCAGGGGCAAGUGUGAUGUUGUCUCUUGCCGGGGAAAGGAACCUGCAGUCAAAAAAUGCAGAUAACUUCAUUAGUUACUAGAUAAUAUAUUAUAUUAUAAUUUCAUAUACCGUUAGGUUAGCUAAUCAAGAUACAUUACAAAACUCUAUAGGCUUAGGUUUCUGAUUAAGGAUCUUGUCAGUUUUACUAGUGAGUCACAAACACCCUCCAAAUCCGUUUCUCUUCGCCAUGUAACCUCAACUGAAUGGCAAAGCUUCUGUAUCCCCGUAUCAGUCCAAGACUGUCUGACAGAGUGAUGAACAGCUCUGAUCUGUGAGACAUUCGAUCAGUAUCAGUUACUCUUAUCAGCAGAUUCUUUUAAAACCUUUCUCAGUCAUCUCUGGCCGUCACCCAUGUUUACUCCAUGAUCCGAUCAGCUGUUUAAAAUGAGACUGAAAAUUUGUUUCCAAUGUGUUUCUUUUUUCUUCAAAGCAAACAGCUCCCAAUGACUUCCACAGUGUAGAAAAUAAAUUCUAUGGAAGUUUUAAUAUUCAACAGAAGAACAAAACUCAUACAGGUUGGCUACAGCUUGAGGUUUUUAUAACAGUAAGGCCUUGGUUGCCUCAGGUUAGCCAGUCAAAUCACUGCUUUCAUGUUCCAGAGGGGCUGUGUGUAUCUAUAUACCUUGUGGCUGUACGGGUGGCAUUCGUCUCCUUCCAGCCCCUGUGGUGUGCACAUCCGGAGACCCCUGAGCCACAGACUCACAGCACAGCACAGACCAACUCCACACUGCACAUCCCUGUCACAUGCCUGACACACAAACACAACACAAAAUCAGUCACAUACGGCAUGGCAUGCAUUCCCAGUGCACAGAAGAACUUGCUCUGCAUGGCUUUGUUAAAAGUCUUUGUUAAUUUGUACAAAGUUAGAGGUUCAUUUAUAUGAAUGAUGAGUAUUUUCUUUUUUAAUGUAUCUAUGUUACCCCAUGCCAUGAGUGCAAAUUAAAUAUUUUAUUAAACAUUCUGUCUGGAUUGAUUUAUAAAUAAAUUUAAAUUAUGCUUA